UACGGAGGGUGCGAGCGUUGUUCGGAAUCACUGGGCGGAAAGGGCGUGUAGGCGGUCCGCUAAGUCUGAUGCGAAAGCCCGGGGCUCACCCCCGGAAGGGCAUUGGAAACUGGCGGACUCGAGUCCCGGAGAGGAAGGUGGAAUUCCUGGUGUAGCGGUGAAAUGCGUAGAUAUCAGGAGGAAUACCGGUGGCGAAGGCGGCCUUCUGGACGGUGACUGACGCUGAGACGCGAAAGCGUGGGGAGCAAACAGG
rnacentral:rRNA from 1 species